GCCCUUGUAGCUCAGUGGUUUAGAGCAUCGUGCUUGCAACGCGAUAGUCGUGGGUUCAAACCCCACCAGGGGCA